UACAGAGGGUGCGAGCGUUGUUCGGAAUUAUUGGGCGUAAAGGGCGCGUAGGCGGUGCGGUAAGUCACCUGUGAAAUCUCCUGGCUCAACUGGGAGCUUGCAGGCGAAACUGCCGUGCUGGAGUGUGGGAGAGGUGCGUGGAAUUCCUGGUGUAGCGGUGAAAUGCGUAGAUAUCCGGAAGAACACCGGUGGCGAAGGCGGCCUGCUGGGCAGUUUAGCUGACACUGAGGCGCGACAGCGUGGGGAGCAAACAGG
rnacentral:rRNA from 1 species